AAUGCACCAAUUUGAACGUCGCUCUGGAUAAGAGCGUCUGCUAAAUGACGUAAA
rfam:Salmo salar isolate Sally breed double haploid chromosome ssa01, whole genome shotgun sequence.